CAUUAUAAACUGCAUUCCACGUCAAGAGUGGGAGUUCUGCUUCGGCCGUGUUCCCAACGUGCUGCCUCGGCACCAAACCACUGGAUACCCUUCAGGUGCCUGCGCUCAGCGCCGCCGCCGCCGCCGCCUUCCUCCUCCGCAUGGCGCCGGCACCGGGAGCGCCGGGAGCAGCGGCCCGGAGCGCGGCCGGGGCUGCCCUGCCCUGCGCCGGGCUGGGCUGGGCUGGGCUCCGCUCCGC